GCACAGGGGUGCUGAUGUCCAAAGGGAAAGACCGUCGGGUCAGCAAUGAUGGAAGACCACAAGCAACAUGAGAGCAAAUGUGGCUGCCGUCAUGAGCCGUCACCCGAGGAGACAGAGAGGCCGUGGACAGAAACAGGACAGAAACAGAGCGGCCAGACAAACGGCCCUUCCUCACUGUCUGCAUGCACUUGUGUGCAUUUAUUUGCAAGCACCUGGGGACACACACAAACUGAGGAAACACCGUAGAAAAAGAUCCUGGAAGGUGAGGGCAGUGCUGUGUGGAGGUGUGUCUGGAAGGCAGAGCCUGAGAUGCGGGCGGGAGCUGGACGUGUGCACUGCAACCCGCUGUCCCCGGGACCCCGCCGGUGCUCUCUCCUUCCUGGGCACGGCUCUGCACCCUGGGGUGGCCUGUGCAGCUGCUCAUCACUGAGGUGGUUUGCAUCCAGGGGCUGCAGGUAUGAGCACCCCAUCUGGGCCAGCCCCCAUGCCCUGUCAUAUCUACAUACAUUUAAUAUGUGUAAUAUAGAAUAUUGAAAAUGAAAGUAUAUUU